UAUCCUGUCUGAAUAUGGGGGGACCAUCCUCCAAGGCUAAAUACUCCUGACUGACCGAUAGUGAACCAGUACCGUGAGGGAAAGGCGAAAAGAACCCCGGCGAGGGGAGUGAAAAAGAACCUGAAACCGUGUACGUACAAGCAGUGGGAGCACCCUUUGGGGUGUGACUGCGUACCUUUUGUAUAAUGGGUCAGCGACUUAUAUUCUGUAGCAAGGUUAACCGAAUAGGGGAGCCGGAGGGAAACCGAGUCUUAAUUGGGCGUUAAGUUGCAGGGUAUAGACCCGAAACCCGGUGAUCUAGCCAUGGGCAGGUUGAAGGUUGGGUAACACUAACUGGAGGACCGAACCGACUAAUGUUGAAAAAUUAGCGGAUGACCUGUGGCUGGGGGUGAAAGGCCAAUCAAACCGGGAGAUAGCUGGUUCUCCCCGAAAGCUAUUUAGGUAGCGCCUCGUGAAUUCAUCUCCGGGGGUAGAGCACUGUUUCGGCUAGGGGGCCAUCCCGGCUUACCAACCCGAUGCAAACUGCGAAUACCGGAGAAUGUUAUCACGGGAGACACACGGCGGGUGCUAACGUCCGUCGUGAAGAGGGAAACAACCCAGACCGCCAGCUAAGGUCCCAAAGUCAUGGUUAAGUGGGAAACGAUGUGGGAAGGCCCAGACAGCCAGGAUGUUGGCUUAGAAGCAGCCAUCAUUUAAAGAAAGCGUAAUAGCUCACUGGUCGAGUCGGCCUGCGCGGAAGAUGUAACGGGGCUAAACCAUGCACCGAAGCUGCGGCAGCGACGCUGAUGCGUUGUUGGGUAGGGGAGCGUUCUGUAAGCCUGCGAAGGUGGCCUGUGAGGGUUGCUGGAGGUAUCAGAAGUGCGAAUGCUGACAUAAGUAACGAUAAAGCGGGUGAAAAGCCCGCUCGCCGGAAGACCAAGGGUUCCUGUCCAACGUUAAUCGGGGCAGGGUGAGUCGACCCCUAAGGCGAGGCCGAAAGGCGUAGUCGAUGGGAAACGGGUUAAUAUUCCCGUACUUGGUGUUACUGCGAAGGGGGGACGGAGAAGGCUAUGUUGGCCGGGCGACGGUU
rnacentral:rRNA from 2 species